rnacentral:rRNA from 1 species
AUGUCGACUAUACCGUCCUCGCCGGCGUCUGCUGCCUCGGGUUCGGCGCCGGCGCCGCCGCAUGUGGUGGAGGACUGCAUGGGCAUCGUGCAGCUCCUGAGCGACGGCACCGUGAGGCGCAGCCUGGACUACUCCCACUUGCCGAUGCUGAGACACAUCCCCUCCGACCUUCCCGUCCAGUGGAAAGACGUGGUGUACGACGCCGGCCACGGCCUCCGCCUCCGGAUGUACAGGCCAACCACCGCAGGCCGCGCAGAGAAGAAGCAUCCGAAGCUCCCGGUGCUCGUCUAUUUCCACGGCGGAGGCUUCUGCAUCGCCAGCUUCGAGUGGCCCAACUUCCACGCUGGCGCGCUCCGGCUGGCCGGCGAGCUCCCGGCGCUCGUGCUCUCCGCCGACUACCGGCUCGCCCCGGAGCACCGCCUCCCAGCCGCGCACAGGGACGCCGAGACCGUCCUCUCGUGGCUCCGCGACCAGGCGGCCGCCGACACCGACGCCUGGCUCGCCGCGUGCGCCGACUUCGGCCGGGUGUUCCUCUGUGGCGACUCCGCAGGCGGCAACAUGGUGCACCACGUCGCCGCCCGCCUCGGCUCCGGCGCCCUCGCGCUUGGCCACCGGGUGCGCGUCGUCGGGUGCGUGAUACUCUGGCCCUACUUCGGUGGCGAGGAGAGGACGGCUUCCGAGGCCGAGGCCGAGGCCAUGGCGCCGUCGUCCGAGUUCGACCCUGGGAGGAACUUCGACCAGAUGUGGCGGCUGGCUUUGCCCGACGGAGCCACCAGGGACCACCCGGCGGCGAACCCGUUCGGGCCGGAGAGCGCCCCGCUCGAUGACGUGCCGUUCCCUCCGGUGCUCGUCGCCAAGGCCGGCCGUGACCGGAUGCGCGACCGGGUGGCUGAGUACGUGGCGAGGCUUCGGGCCAUGGGGAAGCCCGUCGAGCUCGCCGAGUUCGAGGGGCAGGGCCACGGCUUCUUCGUCUUCGCCCCCUUCGGUGAUGCCUCAGACGAGCUGGUCCGAGUGGUUAGGCAAUUCGUGUGUACGUGUACGGCGACUAGCCACUGGUGA